ensembl:lncRNA
ACACACACACACACACACACACACACACACGCACACACUUAAUGAACAAUGUUAUGUGAAACUGACAUUUAUGGUGAAUAGUUGACUUUAACAACUAAACAAUUGUAAAUUAUUUGAAUUAUGAGGUUUUGAGUGCAGUGUAAUAGUAGUGUAACUUUUUGAUUACCUUAUCAAAAUAAUGUAACUUGUUACAAUUUGAUUAAUUCUUUAUACUUGAAUGUUUUCAACUGAAAGUUCCGAAUUUGUACAGGUCCUGUUUUAACUAUUUAAAUUCUCUCUCUAACUGUUAAUUUGUCACGCCAUAAUGCUGGGUCUUCACUGAUCACUGUAUGCCAUUGCUGUUACUCACAUUGGUGACAUCACUGCUCUCGUUAUCAUCCAGCUGUGCUUGAGCAGUGAUGAUGACCAUGGCAGUAUCAUGCGCGUCGUCAGUGCAGGUGUCAGUGUCCCGUAUAUGGGCAGCUGUGGCAUAGACGUCUAUAUAUGACUAUGAGCUGUGGUACAUGAUGGCUAACCGUUUGUAGAAGCAAGGCAGGCAGGGUUAGUUGGUGCUGUAGUAGCUGUUUGUCUGCUGCUGCUAGCAUUAGCUAAACUUGGCUCAGCAGCACUUGAAACAUUAUCAGAAACACGGACGAAUUCUUGAUGGGAAAUAUUGUGUUACCUUAGGUCAUUUCUCCCUGAACUUCUCAUCCUCCCUUUUUCUCUCUCUUUUCUUACUGCCACUUAGAAAUCUUUUCAUGCUUAACUUUGCGACCACACACACCAUCACACAACAAAUUGACCUGGAAUAAUUUUUUUCAUGAUGGAUUUAAGAUACAUUUCAGGCUAAUACAUACAAUAAAAUAAUCGUGUUUUCAUGCUUAUUAUGAAUUGUCAUUCGUUUGCAAUGACAAACCACCAAACAUACAGUAUACUCACACAACAGAACAUACAUACACACAGGGACGCAUUUAAACCCGGGCACACACACACUCACACUUACAUGGAGACAUAGGAACGGCACACCUUCUCAUAUACACACACACACACACACACACACACACACUUGUGUUCUCUUUUUCACAACCAGCACAACACACCUGCGUUUAAUAGCACUAAGUAGGAGGAGAAGUGUAUGGAGAAGUGCCUGCUGGACUCGCUGGCAUGCCUUCAUGGCAUGGUGCUGAACAUGACUGGGUCUUUCUCCUGAUGCAUUUACGCAUGGACUGACUGUGUGUGUUCAUGUGGUGUACAACUCACUACAAUGUGUUCCGUCCCCUCUUAGCAACACAAAUACACACACACUCUCUCUCUCACACACACUCAUAUACACACACACACACACAUACAUACAGGCACAUAACAUACACACACACAGUCCUCUAACCUUUACUUUGACACAUAGAGAACCAUAUAACAGACAAAAUACACCUUUAAUGACAAUAUUAGUUAAUGUAAUGUCUCGUGACAUUGUUAUAGCUACAUAGGUCCAGCGUUCCCAUCUGUGCAGCCUGUGUUUAUAUGCAGUAGUGUGUGGGGAGAGGAGGAGAGGGUGGGCAGCCAUGAGUAGAGGAAGGGAAGGAGGAGUAAUGGGGAGAGAGGAGAAGAGAGGAGCGCUUAAUAUGAAGGAGAAGAGAGGAGAGGAGAAGAGAGGAGCGCUUAAUAUGAAGGAGAAGAGAGGAGAGGAGA